GGGUUGUGAGGUUAAGCGACUAAGCGUACACGGUGGAUGCCCAGGCAGUCAGAGGCGAUGAAGGACGUGCUAAUCUGCGUAAAGCGACGGUAAGGUGAUAUGAACCGCUACAGCCGUCGAUGUCCGAAUGGGGAAACCCGGUGCACUCUGUGCAUCAUUGCAGCAUGAAUACAUAGUGCUGCAAGGCGAACCGGGGGAACUGAAACAUCUAAGUACCCCGAGGAAAAGAAAUCAACCGAGAUUCCCCCAGUAGCGGCGAGCGAACGGGGAGCAGCCCAGAGCCUGAAUCAGUUUGUGUGUUAGUGGAAGCGUCUGGAAAGUCGCAGGGUACAGGGUGAUACUCCCGUACACAAAAGCACACAUGCUGUGAGCUCGAUGAGUAAGGCGGGACACGUGGUAUCCUGUCUGAAUAUGGGGGGACCAUCCUCCAAGGCUAAAUACUCCUGACUGACCGAUAGUGAACCAGUACCGUGAGGGAAAGGCGAAAAGAACCCCGGCGAGGGGAGUGAAACAGAACCUGAAACCGUGUACGUACAAGCAGUGGGAGCCUUGAUUUAUCAGGGUGACUGCGUACCUUUUGUAUAAUGGGUCAGCGACUUAUAUUCUGUAGCAAGGUUAACCGUAUAGGGGAGCCGCAGGGAAACCGAGUCUUAACUGGGCGUUAAGUUGCAGGGUAUAGACCCGAAACCCGGUGAUCUAGCCAUGGGCAGGUUGAAGGUUGGGUAACACUAACUGGAGGACCGAACCGACUAAUGUUGAAAAAUUAGCGGAUGACCUGUGGCUGGGGGUGAAAGGCCAAUCAAACCGGGAGAUAGCUGGUUCUCCCCGAAAGCUAUUUAGGUAGCGCCUCGUGAACUCAUCUUCGGGGGUAGAGCACUGUUUCGGCUAGGGGGCCAUCCCGGCUUACCAACCCGAUGCAAACUGCGAAUACCGAAGAAUGUUAUCACGGGAGACACACGGCGGGUGCUAACGUCCGUCGUGAAGAGGGAAACAACCCAGACCGCCAGCUAAGGUCCCAAAGUCAUGGUUAAGUGGGAAACGAUGUGGGAAGGCACAGACAGCCAGGAUGUUGGCUUAGAAGCAGCCAUCAUUUAAAGAAAGCGUAAUAGCUCACUGGUCGAGUCGGCCUGCGCGGAAGAUGUAACGGGGCUAAACCAUGCACCGAAGCUGCGGCAGCGACGCUUAUGCGUUGUUGGGUAGGGGAGCGUUCUGUAAGCCGUCGAAGGUGUGCUGUGAGGCAUGCUGGAGGUAUCAGAAGUGCGAAUGCUGACAUAAGUAACGAUAAAGCGGGUGAAAAGCCCGCUCGCCGGAAGACCAAGGGUUCCUGUUCAACGUUAAUCGGAGCAGGGUGAGUCGACCCCUAAGGCGAGGCCGAAAGGCGUAGUCGAUGGGAAACAGGUUAAUAUUCCUGUACUCG
rnacentral:rRNA from 1 species